rnacentral:lncRNA from 1 species
UGGCGUUACAGUUUCGGCGAGCCAGCCAGGAAGAUCUCCAGGAAAGGCAUCUAGAUCGUCACGUGGAUGGAGGUCAUCAAGCUACAAAUGGUCUUACAAAUGAAACCUCAAAUGAGCUCAACUCACGGCUUCUAUUGGGUAUUGAGGACCCCUGGAUCGACCCGCGGGUCACUCACUAGCCUAAAAAGUUCCCCUCUGGAGGAGACCACAACUGCAGGGCCUCUUCUUCGCCCCUAAUCAGCGAAAAGUAGCCAGAACGACCGCCGCCCAGUUCCUAACAGCAGUUGGGGUGUCCAGUCUAGACGGCGGACUGAGAGGAGGUUCCAGCUGGGCUUCCUGGGUCGGGUAGGGGCUCAGAAAGCUGUGAAACUCACUCCUUUCCUGCAUCAGGACUUACUUUGGUCCUGGAUGAAUAAUAUUAAAGAUAUGUGCUUAAAAUAAUAUUCC